GAUACCAGGUAAUACUCCCAGCACAUCCCAGUACUGAUACCAGGUAAUACUCCCAGUACUGAUACCAGGUAAUACUCCCAGCACAUCCCAGUACUGAUACCAGGUAAUACUCCCAGUACUGAUACCAGGUAAUACUCCCAGCACAUCCCAGUACUGAUACCAGGUAAUACUCCCAGCACAUCCCAGUACUGAUACCAGGUAAUACUCCCAGCACAUCCCAGUACUGAUACCAGGUAAUACUCCCAGUACUGAUACCAGGUAAUACUCCCAGCACAUCCCAGUACUGAUACCAGGUAAUACUCCCAGUACUGAUACCAGGUAAUACUCCCAGUACUGAUACCAGGUAAUACUCCCAGUACUGAUACCAGGUAAUACUCCCAGUACAUCCCAGUACUGAUACCAGGUAAUACUCCCAGUACUGAUACCAGGUAAUACUCCCAGUACUGAUACCAGGUAAUACUCCCAGUACUGAUACCAGGUAAUACUCCCAGUACUGAUACCAGGUAAUACUCCCAGUACAUCCCAGUACUGAUACCAGGUAAUACUCCCAGUACUGAUACCAGGUAAUACUCCCAGUACUGAUACCAGGUAAUACUCCCAGUACUGAUACCAGGUAAUACUCCCAGUACAUCCCAGUACUGAUACCAGGUAAUACUCCCAGUACUGAUACCAGGUAAUACUCCCAGUACUGAUACCAGGUAAUACUCCCAGUACAUCCCAGUACUGAUACCAGGUAAUACUCCCAGUACUGAUACCAGGUAAUACUCCCAGUACUGAUACCAGGUAAUACUCCCAGUACAUCCCAGUACUGAUACCAGGUAAUACUCCCAGUACAUCCCAGUACUGAUACCAGGUAAUACUCCCAGUACUGAUACCAGGUAAUACUCCCAG